AAUUGAUUGAUGAUGGUAGCAGA
rnacentral:piRNA from 1 species